AGUCUUUUAGGAAAACCAUUUUAGGCAUAAAGAUUGGUUACAGACAAAUUUAAGAGGAAAAUCCAUGAAGUAGCAGCUGUUACUCAGCAGCUAGGCUUCAUGGUAUCAGUGCACUACCAGGUCCUAAGCUGAAAAAGAUCAUUACUCAAGCCCGUUCCAUUUGAUGAAGCACAGACCUCCAGUUUUUAUCUUCAUCUGUUGCACAAUCCAAACCAUCUUAAAUGAUUCUCUUGCAAAUAUAUCUCCAAACUGCAAUCCAAUGUCUGCCAAUAGUCAUAAGACAUGUAGGAAUAAUCUUUUUAUAUCAAAAAAAAGACAUAAGAACAAUCUUAACAGCUUCUGAUACACCAUUUCUAACCCACCCUGAUUUUAUUAAC
rnacentral:lncRNA from 1 species